rnacentral:rRNA from 1 species
GGGGUUGUAGGACCACGACAUUUGGUGCUUUAUGAAUAAGAACACGUUGGAAAGCGUGGCCAUAGACGGUGAUAGCCCGGUAUUAGUAAAGACAGUUACCGAUAGUGGUAUCCUGAGUAGUGCGGGGCACGUGAAACCCUGUAUGAAUCUGGCGGGACCAUCCGCCAAGGCUAAAUACUCCUGAGAGACCGAUAGUGAACCAGUACCGUGAGGGAAAGGUGAAAAGAACCGUGAAUAACGGAGUGAAAUAGAUCCUGAAACCAUACGCUUACAAGCGGUCGGAGCCAAUUUAUUGGUGACGGCGUGCCUUUUGCAUAAUGAGCCUACGAGUUACUGUUGCCAGCGAGGUUAAAAUUUUAAGAAUUGGAGCCGCAGCGAAAGCGAGUCUGAAUAGGGCGUUUUAGUUGGUAGUAGUAGACGCGAAACCGUGUGAUCUACCCUUGGGCAGGUUGAAGUUUAGGUAACACUAAAUGGAGGACCGAACCCGUUGACGUUGAAAAGUCUUGGGAUGACCUGAGGGUAGGGGUGAAAGGCCAAUCAAACUCGGAAAUAGCUCGUACUCCCCGAAAUGCAUUUAGGUGCAGCGUUGAUAUAUAGUUUUAUAGAGGUAGAGCUACUGAUUGGAUGCGGGGGCUUCACCGCCUACCAAUUCCUGACAAACUCCGAAUGCUAUAAAAUGAUGAUCAGCAGUGAGGGCAUGGGUGCUAAGGUCCAUGUCCGAGAGGGAAAGAACCCAGACCAUCAGCUAAGGUCCCCAAAUGUAUGUUAAGUUGAAAAAACGCGGUCGGACUGCAUAGACAGCCAGGAUGUUGGCUUGGAAGCAGCCAUUCAUUUAAAGAGUGCGUAACAGCUCACUGGUCGAGCGGUCCGGCAUGGAUAAUAAUCGGGCAUAAACAUACUACCGAAGCUAUGGACUUAAUUUAUUAAGUGGUAGGGGAGCAUUCUGUUUGCGUUGAAGGUGUACUGUGAGGUAUGCUGGAGCGUACAGAAAAGAAAAUGUAGGCAUAAGUAACGAUAAUGCGGGCGAGAAACCCGCACUCCGAAAGACCAAGGUUUCCUCAGCUAUGCUAAUCAGCUGAGGGUUAGUCGGGGCCUAACGCGAACCCGAAAGGGGUAGUGGAUGGACAACAGGUUAAUAUUCCUGUACCUGCUCACGUUAAAAGUGACGGAGGCGUAAAUUUGGUGCGUGCUGACGGAAUAGCACGUUGAAGCCAGUGGUAACACGGCGAUAGUACAC